UACGUAGGGUGCAAGCGUUAAUCGGAAUUACUGGGCGUAAAGCGUGCGCAGGUGGUUACCCUAGACAGAUGUGAAAUACCCGAGCUCAACUUGGGACCUGCAUUUGUGACUGUGUGACUAGAGUACGGUAGAGGGGGAUGGAAUUCCGCGUGUAGCAGUGAAAUGCGUAGAUAUGCGGAGGAACACCGAUGGCGAAGGCAAUUCCCUGGACCUAUACUGACACUCAUGCACGAAAGCGUGGGGAGCAAACAGG
rnacentral:rRNA from 1 species